UGGAAACCAGGAUGUAAGUUCAUCUUGUUCAUUGGUUGAACUCUCUAUAAAUAGGAAAUAGGGUCUGUGAGUAAAGCAAAGAGUAAUCUUUUAAGCAGAUGUUCUAACACCUGAACUUCGUAUAAGCUGUGCUAUUUAUCUGUUACCUCUGGUAAAUACUAAUACACAGAAAGUGACAAGGAUCAGAAGAGGAUACCAUGAAAUACAUUUUCAUUGCACUCAGUUUUGUACUCACCUAUACUAGAAUCACCGAUGGAGCUGCAUGUGGUCAUAGAUACUACGAUCUAACCUGGGACAUUUGCUGCAACGGAGUCUUAAGCAAUAAAGGAUCCAGGACAUCGUGUUGUGGGACUAAACCAUAUGACUACAAUUUUGACAUUUGCUGCAACGGAGUCUUAAGCAAUAAAGGAUUCAGGACAUCGUGUUGUGGGACUCAACCAUACGACCCCAGUUGGGAGCAUUGCUGCAAUGGGGUACUCUGCUCCUAGACUCCAUAUGUAUUAUAAUAAUGAUACCGCUGAUCGAACUAUACAACACAUCGUUUUUAAUUGUUGAAUUUUAUUAUAAAUAGCUAAUAAAUUUUAAAGCUGUUUUACACUACUGUAUUAAAGGAGGUAAAAAGUAAAUACAAUAGGCAAAUUAUUGAUUGUUUUAGU
rnacentral:lncRNA from 1 species